rnacentral:tRNA from 1 species
GCUAGCGUAGCUUAACUAAA